rnacentral:rRNA from 1 species
GGCCUAACACAUGCAAGUCGAGCGGGCAUAGCAAUAUGUCAGCGGCAGACGGGUGAGUAACGCGUGGGAACGUACCUUUUGGUUCGGAACAACACAGGGAAACUUGUGCUAAUACCGGAUAAGCCCUUACGGGGAAAGAUUUAUCGCCGAAAGAUCGGCCCGCGUCUGAUUAGCUAGUUGGUGAGGUAACGGCUCACCAAGGCGACGAUCAGUAGCUGGUCUGAGAGGAUGAUCAGCCACAUUGGGACUGAGACACGGCCCAAACUCCUACGGGAGGCAGCAGUGGGGAAUAUUGGACAAUGGGCGCAAGCCUGAUCCAGCCAUGCCGCGUGAGUGAUGAAGGCCCUAGGGUUGUAAAGCUCUUUUGUGCGGGAAGAUAAUGACGGUACCGCAAGAAUAAGCCCCGGCUAACUUCGUGCCAGCAGCCGCGGUAAUACGAAGGGGGCUAGC